rnacentral:rRNA from 1 species
GUGAGGAAUAUUGGUCAAUGGGCGGGAGCCUGAACCAGCCAAGUCGCGUGAAGGAAGAAGGAUCUAUGGUUCGUAAACUUCUUUUGCAGGGGAAUAAAGUGCAGGACGUGUCCUGUUUUGUAUGUACCCUGAGAAUAAGGAUCGGCUAACUCCGUGCCAGCAGCCGCGGUAAUACGGAGGAUCCGAGCGUUAUCCGGAUUUAUUGGGUUUAAAGGGUGCGUAGGUGGUUUGAUAAGUCAGCGGUGAAAGUUUGCAGCUUAACUGUAAAAAUGCCGUUGAAACUGUCGGACUUGAGUGUAAAUGAGGUAGGCGGAAUGCGUGGUGUAGCGGUGAAAUGCAUAGAUAUCACGCAGAACUCCGAUUGCGAAGGCAGCUUACUAAGCUACAACUGACAGUGAAGCACGAAAGCGUGGGGAUCAAACAGGAUUAGAAACCCGUGUAGUCC